CAGAAGUAUUUUUUUUUAAAUAAAGAAAGUAGUGAAAUCGCUGCCUACGAGAAAAAAGGGGAUGGACUUCCUUUUUAUUUUGGCGCACGGUGUCUAGGGCACCGCGUGCCCUAGAAUCAGGCACUGCAAAUAUGUGUGUUGGUUGGAGUUGCUAUUAUAGUCUGACCUGAUAUUUCGAAUGCUGAUGAAAAAAUUUGUAAAAGAUACGUUAAAAUUUCUUCUUAAAGAGAAAGAUAUCGAAGACCAGGGACCAAACUUAGUUACUGUGGAAGAACCACUAACAUCACCUGUCCCAUUAGCAGUAAAACACGUUGUUGACGAGGAAGACCCUCUCCAGCAAGAAGUAGAAAUCACAGAAAAAUAAUUUAAAACAUGAAAAUUGGGAAAAGGUGUAGGGAAACAGCCAAAGAAUUGCUUGAUCAACUAGCGACUGCUGAUGCUUUGAACUUUGAGGUAUGUGAUCGAAUUAACGUACACAUAGACAUGGAGAAUUGUGAGAGGAUACACUACCAUAAUAAUAAGGAACAAGAAAAAUUACGAAAUCAAUUUGCCACUUUAUCCCUGGUUCUAGAAAUUUAACUUCGAAAUAAAAAUGGAAUCUAUGAUAUGAUUGCAAAAUAGGCUUAGGCAGCCUUGCAUGCUCUGAGGACAAAGAGAAGCUCUGAUGGCUACAGUAAGCCUAAUACCAAACCUGCUGCAAAAAGGCGUCACCAAGAAAAUAUUUGUGAAACUGAUGACAAAAAUGAUGAAGCCUGGAUGAAGAAAACUCCUUUAACUGAGGCCAACAUAAAGGAAAUGCUUGAUAACUUCAUCUCAUGCAGGCAUUCAAGAAGACGGAUAAUAGAGUCCAAUAAUGAAGAGGUAACCGCAACUUACAUCCUUAACAGGUAUCCAAGGCUGAUGGAUCACUUUGAAGCAGUAAGUGAUGUUUUAAUCUAUGUAGCUUCCAGUUGUACUAAUCCCUCGUUUCUGUUUUGUUCAUUCCACAUAACAUCUUGCAAGGUAACAAAGGUAACAUACCUAAAAUUGAUAUUAAUUAGUGGGUGGCAAAAUGUGCCGUAUUUGGCAACGUUAGAAUCAAACAAAGCCCUUCGUUUGAAAGAUUCUGUGUAUGUAAACUCAAAGAAAGAAUCAUGCAUUUCUGACUUUAUUCACGUUGACACUGUAUAAUUUGUUUAUUUUUCUGCUAAUCUGAUCUAGGCUUUACGCAUGGAAAUUUAAAAAACAAUUAUCUAUAAGCGUAUUGAGGAUCCCGUUUUGUUGGUUAGUUUAUAUAAUGCCGAAACUUUCAAUAACAUUCCUUAAAUUACGAUGUCGAACCAUCAUACCCUUCUUUACAAUUCUUGUGCCAAGUUAGUGACCUCCUCAAUUUUCACUCAUUAGAUGGGACCAACAAAAACGAAAGGCUGUUUGUUCGACUCAAAAAUUUUGUUUUCUGAACCUAUUUCAACCUCGUCUUUGCAUUUCUCCGCUUUUCACAUAUUA